rnacentral:rRNA from 1 species
CAGCACCUCAAGUGGUCAGGAUGAUUAUUGGGCCUAAAGCAUCCGUAGCCGGCUCUGUAAGUUUUCGGUUAAAUCUGUACGCUCAACGUACAGGCUGCCGGGAAUACUGCAGAGCUAGGGAGUGGGAGAGGUAGACGGUACUCGGUAGGAAGGGGUAAAAUCCUUUGAUCUAUUGAUGACCACCUGUGGCGAAGGCGGUCUACCAGAACACGUCCGACGGUGAGGGAUGAAAGCUGGGGGAGCAAACCGAAUUAGAUACCCGCGUAGUCC